rnacentral:rRNA from 1 species
UAAAGCAAGAAAGGGCGUAUGGGGAAUGCCUAGGCACACUCCGGCGAAGAAGGACGCAGCAAACAGCGAAAUGCGACGGUGAGCGGUAAGCACGUGAAGAGCCGUCGAUAUCCGAAUGGGGGAACCCACACGGAGUCAUAUCCGUGUAUCACAUGUCGAAUACAUAGACAUGAUGAGGCGAGACGCAGGGAACUGAAACAUCUAAGUACCUGCAGGAAGAGAAAAUAAGAAUGAUUUUCUGAGUAGCGGCGAGCGAAAGGGAAAGAGCCCAAACCGAUCUUAGGAUCGGGGUAGUAGGAUCAUCGAGAAAUCUGACAGAGGAUCAUAGAGGAAUCACAUGGGAAGGUGAGCGAGAGAGGGUGAGAGCCCCGUACUCGAAAUGAGAGACUGGAGAGAGAUGACACCUGAGUAGGGCGGGACACGAGAAAUCCUGUCUGAAUCAGCCGGGACCAUCCGGCAAGGCUAAAUACGAGAGAGUGACCGAUAGUGAACCAGUACCGUGAGGGAAAGGUGAAAAGAACCCCGGGAGGGGAGUGAAAGAGAACCUGAAACCAUAUGCCUACAAGAAGUCAGAGCCCGUUAAAGGGUGAUGGCGUGCCUUUUGUAGAAUGAACCGGCGAGUUACUGUAUGGAGCGAGGUUAAGCAGGAUAUGCGGAGCCGAAGCGAAAGCGAGUCUUAAGAGGGCGAGAGUUGCAUGCAGUAGACCCGAAACCGGGUGAUCUAGCCAUGACCAGGUUGAAGUUGGGGUAAAACCCGAUGGAGGACCGAACCGACCCCCGUUGAAACGUUGGCGGAUGAGUUGUGGCUAGGGGUGAAAUUCCAAUCGAACCCGGAGAUAGCUGGUUCUCCCCGAAAUAGCUUUAGGGCUAGCGUCGAGGUAAGUUGCGUGAAGGUAGAGCACUGAAUAUGUGAUGGCCCCAUCUCGGGGUACUGAGCAUAAUCAAACUGCGAAUGUCACGAUAACAUGCUCGGCAGUCAGACAGCGGGUGAUAAGGUCCGUUGUCAAGAGGGAAACAGCCCAGACCAUCAGCUAAGGUCCCAAAAUGUAUGCUAAGUGGAAAAGGAUGUGGAGAUGUACAGACAACUAGGAGGUUGGCUCAGAAGCAGCCAUCCUUUAAAGAGUGCGUAACAGCUCACUAGUCGAAUGACUCUGCGCCGAUAAUUUACCGGGGCUAAGCAUACUACCGAAGCUAUGGAUCCCAAGGGAUGGUAGGGGAGCGUUCCAUGAACGGAGAAGUACGACCGAAAGGACGUGUGGAGAUCAUGGAAGAGAGAAUGCCGGUGUGAGUAGCGGAACGUGGGUGAGAAUCCCACGCACCGAAAACCCAAGGUUUCCAGAGGAAGGUUCGUCCGCUCUGGGUAAGUCGGGACCUAAGGCGAGGCCGAAAGGCGUAGUCGAUGGACAACAGGUAGAGAUUCCUGUACCCGUAUAUAUGUGAAGGAAUGACGGAGAGAGGAAGCUGCAGCCAGCGGCUGGAAGAGCUGGUGCAAGCGAGAUAUCGGGAUGGCAGGCAAAUCCACCAUCCGAAACGAGAAGGCGUGAAGCGUACGGAAAGCUACGGCGAGUACGGAAGGCAGUGGAGGAACUUCCAAGAAAAGUUUCUAACGUUAAGUAUAUAUGGCCCGUACCGAAAAUGGACACACAUGGGUGAGGAGAGAAUCCUAAGGUGAGCGAGAGAACUAUAGCUAAGGAACUCUGCAAAAUGACUCCGUAACUUAGGGAGAAGGAGUGCUCAUAGAGAUAUGAGCCGCAGUGAAACGGCCCAAGCGACUGUUUACCAAAAACACAGCUCUCUGCUAAGCCGCAAGGCGAAGUAUAGGGGGUGACGCCUGCCCGGUGCUGGAAGGUUAAGGGGAGGGGUUAACGCAAGUGAAGCCCUGAACUGAAGCCCCAGUAAACGGCGGCCGUAACUAUAACGGUCCUAAGGUAGCGAAAUUCCUUGUCAGGUAAGUUCUGACCCGCACGAAAGGCGUAAUGAUUUGGGCACUGUCUCAACAGCCCGCCCGGCGAAAUUGUAGUACUGGUGAAGAUGCCAGUUACCCGCAACUAGACGGAAAGACCCCAUGGAGCUUUACUGCAGUUUAAUACUGGGAAUCGGUAAUGCAUGUACAGGAUAGGUGGGAGACUAGGAAGCAUGGUCGUCAGGUCAUGUGGAGUCACCGGUGGGAUACCACUCUUGUAUUGCUGAUUUCCUAACCUGCGGCCGUGAAUCCGGUCGGGGGACACUGUUAGACGGGCAGUUUGACUGGGGCGGUCGCCUCCAAAAGAGUAACGGAGGCGCUCAAAGGUUCG